rnacentral:rRNA from 1 species
UGCCAGUGAUAAACUGGAGGAAGGUGGGGAUGACGUCAAGUCAUCAUGGCCCUUACGAGUAGGGCUACACACGUGCUACAAUGGCGCAUACAAAGAGAAGCGACCUCGCGAGAGCAAGCGGACCUCAUAAAGUGCGUCGUAGUCCGGAUUGGAGUCUGCAACUCGACUCCAUGAAGUCGGAAUCGCUAGUAAUCGUGGAUCAGAAUGCCACGGUGAAUACGUUCCCGGGCCUUGUACACACCGCCCGUCACACCAUGGGAGUGGGUUGCAAAAGAAGUAGGUAGCUUAACCUUCGGGAGGGCGCUUACCACUUUGUGAUUCAUGACUGGGGUGAAGUCGUAACAAGGUAACCGUAGGGGAACCUGCGGUUGGAUCACCUCCUUACCUUAAAGAA